CGACGUAGGGGGCGAGCGUUGUCCGGAAUUACUGGGUGUAAAGAGCACGUAGGCGGAUGUAUAAGUCAGGUGUGAAAGACCGCAGCCCAACUGCGGGGUUGCACUUGAAACUGUAUAUCUUGAGGGCAGGAGAGGUCAGUAGAAUUCCUGGUGUAGCGGUGAAAUGCGUAGAAAUCAGGAGGAAUACCAGUGGCGAAGGCGACUGACUGGACGGACCCGGACGCUGAGGUGCGAAAGCGUGGGUAGCAAACAGGAUUAGAUCCCCUGGUAGUCCACGCCGUAAACGAUGGAUACUAGGUGUGGGAGGUAUCGACCCCUUCCGUGCCGCAGCUAACGCAAUAAGUAUCCCGCCUGGGGAGUACGGUCGCAAGGCUGAAACUUAAAGGAAUUGACGGGG
rnacentral:rRNA from 1 species